rnacentral:antisense_RNA from 1 species
AAUAACUAAAAAUUCGCACGGGGUUGAGCGUGGGAUGGGCUAUUACUCGGACGCUUCCACCACUUCCGGCCCAAGGGUCAAACAGUCCGCCCCAAAACAUUCCCUUGGCAACCAACAGCAACGCCCCAAUACCGAGCAAAAUUAAAUGGAUGCCCAGGAUAGUGGUCAUUUUUUCGCUGUCUUUCCA